ACUCCUGCGGGAGGCAGCAGUGGGGAAUAUUGCACAAUGGGCGCAAGCCUGAUGCAGCCAUGCCGCGUGUAUGAAGAAGGCCUUCGGGUUGUAAAGUACUUUCAGCGGGGAGGAAGGCGAUAAGGUUAAUAACCUUGUCGAUUGACGUUACCCGCAGAAGAAGCACCGGCUAACUCCGUGCCAGCAGCCGCGGUAAUACGGAGGGUGCAAGCGUUAAUCGGAAUUACUGGGCGUAAAGCGCACGCAGGCGGUCUGUCAAGUCGGAUGUGAAAUCCCCGGGCUCAACCUGGGAACUGCAUUCGAAACUGGCAGGCUAGAGUCUUGUAGAGGGGGGUAGAAUUCCAGGUGUAGCGGUGAAAUGCGUAGAGAUCUGGAGGAAUACCGGUGGCGAAGGCGGCCCCCUGGACAAAGACUGACGCUCAGGUGCGAAAGCGUGGGGAGCAAACAGGAUUAGAUACCCCUGUAGUCCCAUGAU
rnacentral:rRNA from 1 species